UUAAACUGGAGAGUUUGAUCCUGGCUCAGAACUAACGCUGGCGGCGUGCCUAACACAUGCAAGUCGUACGAGAAAGCCGGCUUCGGCUGGUGAGUAAAGUGGCGCACGGGUGAGUAACGCGUGGAUAAUCUGCCCUUAAGUGUGGAAUAACGUACCGAAAGGUGCGCUAAUACCGCAUAAUGCCUGGCAACACAAGUUGUCCGGCCAAAGAAGGCCUCUGUUUACAAGCUUUCGCUUCAGGAUGAGUCCGCGUACCAUUAGCUUGUUGGUGGGGUAAUGGCCUACCAAGGCUGCGAUGGUUAGCUGGUCUGAGAGGAUGAUCAGCCACACUGGAACUGAGACACGGUCCAGACUCCUACGGGAGGCAGCAGUGAGGAAUAUUGCGCAAUGGGGGCAACCCUGACGCAGCAACGCCGCGUGAGUGAGG
rnacentral:rRNA from 1 species